rnacentral:rRNA from 1 species
GUGCCAGCCGCCGCGGUAAUACCGGCAGCCCAAGUGAUGGCCGCUGUUAUUGGGCCUAAAGCGCCCGUAGCUGGGUCUGAAAGUCCAUCGGGAAAUCCACUCGCUCAACGAGUGGCCGUCCGGUGGAAACUCCACACCUUGGGACCGGAAGGCUCGAAGGGUACGGCCGGGGUAGGAGUGAAAUCCUGUAAUCCCGUCCGGACCACCGAUGGCGAAAGCACUUCGAGAAAACGGAUCCGACAGUGAGGGACGAAGGCCGGGGUCUCCAACCGGAUUAGAAACCCUAGUAGCC